rnacentral:snRNA from 8 species
AUCGCUUCUCGGCCUUUUGGCUCAGAUCAAGUGUAGUAUCUGUUCUUAUCAGUUUAAUAUCUGAUACGUCCCCCAUCGGGGGACUACAUAUUAAAUGGAUUUUUCGAACAGGGAGUCGGAAAUGGGGCUUGCUCCGUCCGCUCCACGCAUCGACCCCGGUAUUGCAGUACCUCCGGGGAAUGGUGCAACACUU